CAGAGAUGCACCUCGCAUGUUCCUACCAGCACUGUUUGUAGCUACAGAAGUGUCAGAAGUAGCGUGCUGCCUAUGAGUGCAAGUGUGGUGAGAAAAUUGUGCUGUGUAUGCAAUGGAAUAUUGUGAAGCCAUGAAAAUGAAUGGAUCACAGCUACUGCCAGACACAGACGAACACUUCUCCACAUGAGUGAAUAACCCAAGUCCCGGAGAAUAUAUUAGUUUGUAAGGAUAAGAGGAAGUCUGCACUGGGUACCAAGUGGCCUCAGAAUACAUUACCAGCCCACUCACUUUCCACCAAGCCCUGUGAGACACUUGAACAAGAUGUAACUCCAGACUUCCAGCUCACCACAGGCAAAUCCAGGAGGGCAGAGAGGUGAAACAGUUCCAGAGCCACCCACCUGAACUCUCUGAAAUGGUGCUUAUGCUGCUGAGCUAAAUCCCCAGCCCCGGGAGCAGAAUUCUUGCUGGAUCGAUUUUACUGGUUUCGAUGUCCUGUGGCCUGAUUAGCAGAGAACCUGGGAGACCCUUUAGACACGGAAUGGAGGAGGUGACCUUUGAGGAUGUGGCUGUGAACUUCAGCAAUGAAGAGUGGGCUUUGCUGAGUCCAUCCCAAAAGAACCUCUACACAGAUGUGAUGGGUGAUACCUUUAGGAACAUGACUGCAAUAGAAAUGACAAGCUAGGGAAAUCCUAUGGACAUACACCUUUGAAUCAGUGUAAAGAAGUAUUUCUUUGUACUGCAGAAAGUAAUGUGAAUGUGAAAGAAACAGAAACACACCACAAUGUUCAGAUCCAUGAAAAAUAUUGCAGUGGAGGGAAACCUGAUUUAUGUAAGCAACGUGGGAAAGUUUUACCACACAUGGAAUUUGUAAGAAACAUGAAAGAAUUCACAGAGGAGAGAGACCCUACAUAUGUAAGCAAUGUGGGAAAGCUCUUACAACAUGUACAUAAUUGUGAAGUACAUGAAACUCUUCACGCUGGAGAAUAACGUUAUAAAUGUAAGCACUGUGAGAAAGCUUUCAACACACGUACUUAGUGUGAAAUCCAUGAAAAUAUUCACACUGGGAAGAAAUCAUAUAUAUGUAAGAAACGUGGGAAGGCUUUUAGCAGUAACAUUAAUUGUCAAAUACAUGAAAAUGUUCACACCGGAGAGAAACCCUAUGUAUGUAAGCAAUGUGGGAAAACUUUUAACACACAUGCAUAUUGUAAGGAACAUGAAAGAAUUCACACUAGAGAGAAACCCUAUGUAUGUAAGCAAUGUGGGAAAGCUUUUAAGAUACGUGCAUAUUAUAAGAUACAUGAAAGAAUUCACAAUGGAGAGAAAUCCUAUUUAUGUCAGCAAUGUGGAAAAGGUUUCACCCAAUCUGGACAUUGUAAAGAACAUGAAAGAAUUCACACUGGAUAGAAACCCUAUGUAUGUAAGCAAUGUGAGAAUGCUUUUACCAUACAUGGACAGUGUAAUUAACAUGAAAAAAUUCACACUGAGAGAAACCCUAUGUAUGUAAGUAAUAUGAGAAAGCUUUUACUACACCUGGACAGUCUAAGAAACAUGAAAGAAUUCACACUGGAGAGAAAUCCUAUGUAUAUAAGCAAUUUGGGAAAGUUUUUACUCAACAUGGACAUUGUAAGCAACAUGAAAGUUCACACUCAAGAUAUAUCCAGUGUAUAUAAGCAUUGUGACAAUGGUUUGAGCACAUGUGCAUAUUGCAUAAUGCAUGAAAAUCUUCACACUUGUCAGAAAACUUAUAUAUGUGAGGAAUGUGGGAAAGGUUUCAGCAGAAACAGUCAUUGUCCAAUACAUGAAAAAAUCCACACUUUUGAGAAACCCUAUGUAUGUGAAGAAUGUGGGAUAACUUUCACCACACAUGGAUAUUGUGAAAUACAUCAAUGACUUCACACUGGGGAGAAACACUAUGUAUAUAACAAUGUGGCAAAGCUUUUACUGCAUGCAGUAAUUGCAAAACACAUGAAACAAUUCACACUGGGAAGAACCACUGGCUAUGUAAGCAAGUGGAUACACUUUCAGCAGCCAGAGUGUAACUGAAGUACAUGAAGAAACACACACUAGAGAUAAAUCCUAUGUGUUAUGGGAAUCCUCUCAGCACACAUGAUAAUUGUUACGGAUCUGAAAGAGCUCACUGGGCUGAGAUCCUAUGUGGAUUAGCAAUAGAGCAAUCCAUAUUUGUUGUUAAAUACAUAGAAGAAAAACACUGGUCAGACAGUUUAGAUCUAAGUUUACUUUAAAAUUCCCUAGGAGACAUAAAGAAAUAAUCAAUACAGAAGUUUGAUGUCAACAUUUCUUCACAAAUUUUCCAGAAACGACAAAUCUGAGGUGGAGCUUUCCUCAACUGCACACGUUGUAUGGUUUUCAGUUAAUCACUUGUACCUCUCUAGAUUUUUUAAAGUGUCUUUGUGCUUCAACAUGGCAUCUUGUAAUUAAACAUGGUAAACUGAAAUGUGCUUUUCACUUUCAAGAAUGAAUGGUGACUGUUGUAGUCAGGGGCUGUGCACAGAGAACAAUUGGAUCAAGACAGGAGUUUAUAAUAUUAUUUUUAUAAUAGUCACUGGGAGUUAA